rnacentral:rRNA from 1 species
CGCGCAGGCGGUGAUGUAAGUCUGAGGUGAAAACCCGAAGCUCAACUUCGGGACUGCCUUGGAUACUGCGUCACUUGAGGAUAGGAGAGGCAAGGGGAAUUCCACGUGUAGCGGUGAAAUGCGUAGAGAUGUGGAGGAACACCUGUGGCAAAGGCGCCUUGCUGGCCUAUUUCUGACGCUGAGGCGCGAAAGCGUGGGGAGCAAACAG